GUGGGGAAUCUUGCGCAAUGGGCGAAAGCCUGACGCAGCCAUGCCGCGUGAAUGAUGAAGGUCUUAGGAUUGUAAAAUUCUUUCACCGGGGACGAUAAUGACGGUACCCGGAGAAGAAGCCCCGGCUAACUUCGUGCCAGCAGCCGCGGUAAUACGAAGGGGGCUAGCGUUGCUCGGAAUUACUGGGCGUAAAGGGCGCGUAGGCGGACAGUUUAGUCAGAGGUGAAAGCCCAGGGCUCAACCUUGGAAUUGCAUUUGAUACUGGCUGUCUUGAGUACGGGAGAGGUGAGUGGAACUCCGAGUGUAGAGGUGAAAUUCGUAGAUAUUCGGAAGAACACCAGUGGCGAAGGCGACUCACUGGCCCGUUACUGACGCUGAGGCGCGAAAGCGUGGGGAGCAAACAGGAUUAGAUACCCGGGUAGUCC
rnacentral:rRNA from 1 species